AUUGAACGCUGGCGGCAGGCUUAACACAUGCAAGUCGAGCGGGGGAAGGUAGCUUGCUACCGGACCUAGCGGCGGACGGGUGAGUAAUGCUUAGGAAUCUGCCUAUUAGUGGGGGACAACAUCUCGAAAGGGAUGCUAAUACCGCAUACGUCCUACGGGAGAAAGCAGGGGAUCUUCGGACCUGGCGCUAAUAGAUGAGCCUAAGUCGGAUUAGCUAGUUGGUGGGGUAAAGGCCUACCAAGGCGACGAUCUGUAGCGGGUCUGAGAGAAUGAUCCGCCACACUGGGACUGAGACACGGCCCAGACUCCUACGGGAGGCAGCAGUGGGGAAUAUUGGACAAUGGGGGGAACCCUGAUCCAGCCAUGCCGCGUGUGUGAAGAAGGCCUUAUGGUUGUAAAGCACUUUAAGCGAGGAGGAGGCUACUCUAGUUAAUACCUAGGGAUAGUGGACGUUACUCGCAGAAUAAGCACCGGCUAACUCUGUGCCAGCCGCCGCAGUAA
rnacentral:rRNA from 1 species